rnacentral:lncRNA from 7 species
AGUAGUACGCAUUCGCGAGUUCCGAGCUGGCAGUACGCAUGCGCGACAUUACGGACAGCAGUAUGCAUGCGCUAGCUUCUAGACGGCAGUACGCAUGCGCGCCGUCAUAGACGAUGGCACCAGAGACCGCCGCAACCUUUCCGACGCAGUUUUCCUGUUUGGACAUUAGGUGGCAGCAGAUACCGUGGAAACAACUCCUCCGCCGCCUUUUAGCGGACUGCCUGGGACCGUGGGCGCGCGCAUCCCCUUCUCUCUUUCUUUUCUUGGCAGAGGAUGGUGGGGGGAAGAAGGGGAGACGACAAAGAAAAGCAAGGAAAACUUCGACAAACCCCCCAACCCCGUGCUAAAUGCUUUGGUAUACCUGUAAAUAAAUGAAUACAUAAC